UCUCUCUCUCUCUCUCUCUCUCGCCAACUCGCCUGAGCCUCCCUCGUCGUCCCGCUGCCAACUUGAUGCCAGAAGAUCCCAGCGAAGCUGCCACCCGAUCUUGCCACACCAACUCAAACCAAUCACGGGGCCGUUUGUGACCCAGUCGAGCAUAGGAUGACUCCGAUCUUGCUUGCCUGCUCUGUAGCCAGGCAGCCACCAUUGCCCUUCAUCGUCGGAAUCUUCAAACAAAUUAGAAAGCCUCAUCAUCGCCCCGCAUCCUCUUCUUCGACUAGACUCAUUGUUAGACUGGUAUGUCUUUCAUUGGCCUUGUUUGGUUUUCAUUUAUGCUGGUAGUGAUCUAGUUUUCUUCUUUCCUCUAAUAAGGACAUUUCUUGAUCCUUACUUUUUGCUAUAUAUGCUGUUUAUUGAGCAGAGCAUAGUAGAAAGUUAAAAAAUGAAGAGGACUUGUUAUGAUCAUAUGGUAGCAAUUUAGAUGGGUAUUUCUCUUCUGCUAUAUAGGGAAAAGACUUAUAUAUAGAAUGGUAUAAGCACACACGUCUUCUGAUUAAUCAGGGCCAAACACACUAACAUUUUUUUUCCUACUGCAGGGAAGCAAUUGGGAAAAUUCUUGCACGUGGUCAUAGUAGAGUCCCUGUCUAUUCUGGAAAUCCCAAAACAUAAUCGGCCUCUUACUGGUGAAAAGUCUCCUCACAGUACGAGCAGAAACAGAGACUCCAGUUAGUGCAGUUUCCAUUCGUAGAAUGCCUAGGGUUCCAGCCGAUAUGCCUUUAUAUGAUAUACUUAAUGAGUUUCAAAAAGGAAGCAGUCACCUGGCUGCUGUAGUGAAGAUCAAAGGAAAAACCAAGAAUCCUCUACUUUUUGCUGAUAGAGAGAAACUUGAGGAGGCCAGACCAACCAAUGGAUGUGUUGCCAUUGAUGUUGAUAAACGUCCAAGGUCUCUGACAAACAUGCCAA